rnacentral:tRNA from 1 species
GCACCUAUAGACUAGCGGUUAGGUCAUCUGGCUUUCUACCAGAGGGGCAGGGUUCGAGUCCCUGUAGGUGUUCCA